rnacentral:rRNA from 1 species
CUACGUGCCAGCAGCCGCGGUAAUACGGAGGGUGCGAGCGUUAAUCGGAAUAACUGGGCGUAAAGGGCACGCUGGCGGUGACUUAAGUGAGGUGUGAAAGCCCCGGGCUUAACCUGGGAAUUGCAUUUCAUACUGGGUCGCUAGAGUACUUUAGGGAGGGGUAGAAUUCCACGUGUAGCGGUGAAAUGCGUAGAGAUGUGGAGGAAUACCGAAGGCGAAGGCAGCCCCUUGGGAAUGUACUGRCGCUCAUGUGCGAAAGCGUGGGGAGCAAACAGGAUUAGAUACCCUGGUAGUCCACGCUGUAAACGAUGUCGAUUUGGGGGUUGAGCUUUAAGCUUGGCGCCCGUAGCUAACGUGAUAAAUCGACCGCCUGGGGAGUACGGCCGCAAGGUUAAAACUCAAAUGAAUUGACGGGGGCCCGCACAAGCGGUGGAGCAUGUGGUUUAAUUCGAUGCAACGCGAAGAACCUUACCUACUCUU